GUCAGUGUUGAUCAGUGGCUGUUCAGACCUUUCAGAGACACUGAACACACCAGCAGCACAAUGAUGAUGUCACUGACUCUACUGCUGACCACCCUGGGGCUCCUUGUUCAGGGUUCAUCAGGUGAAAUCAUCCUGACUCAGACUCCUCGAUCUCAGUCUGUUGCUCCUGGACAGACUGUUUCCAUCAAAUGUAAAGCCAGUUCCAACAUGGGCACCUACCUUCACUGGUACCUUCAAAAACCUGGAGAGGUUCCUAAACUCCUCAUAAAUUAUGCUACAACUCGUGUGUCUGGAGUUUCAGAUCGUUUCAGUGGAAGUGGAUCUGGGACUGAUUUCACUUUAACCAUCAGUGGAAUCCAGAGUGAAGAUACAGGAGAUUAUUACUGUCAGCAGGGUGGUUACAGCUUCCCGUUCACACGGUGAUACAACAUCGUACAAAAACCUCCUUCAGCUGGAGAGGAACUGAUCUGAAUGAGCUGCUCACUGAAACCACAACACAGCUGAAUGUAAUGGUACACAACUUUAUAAUAUAAGACCAGACAGGGAUCAACGUUCAGCACUGAUCUUUGAAACGUGUUAUUGCACCAAUUUCAACCAGCAGAAGAAAAUAUCCUCAUCGUGAUUGAAAUGUCCAGAUUUUCCUUCAUAAAUCAAUCAUCCAUUUCAGGACUGUUUGAGAUAAACAACCAUACAAGAUCCCACUCCUACCUUAUAAUCAAUUUACAUUCAUCAAGUAACCUAACAGGCAUGUUUUUGUAUGAUGGGAGGAAGCCACAAACACAGAGGCAUCAUACAACCUGAAAUUUGAGCCAGAAACCUUUUUUGGUUUGAGGCGACAGUGCUGAUCACCACAUUCAGCUCUGUUAUUUAUUCAGUUACAGCAAAUAUUUUCUUUCUUUCAUUUUACAGAAAAUGGUUGAAGCAGCUAGAUUAAUGAGGCCAGAAUAAAAACAUAAUAUGGACUCAGUGAUUUGACUGCAAGUAGUCAUGUGACCACUCAAGAGAGAUUUUUUUUCUUUAACAAAUCCAUGUACAAAUUCUUAUAAAGAUUUCUUCUAAAUUAUUAAUGAAGAGCAGAAAAUAUUAUCUACAUUUUUCCUAUAAUUUUAGUCUGUAAUUGUUUACAUUUCCAGACUUUUUUUCCAUCCAUCUUUAUUCUGAACCUCCUUCAUCCUGUUCAGAUGUGGCGCUGGGGGUUAAUAAAGAUGUUCCAGCAGUGCCAGGAGGAGAUGAAGGGAACACUCUGGACAAUUCUCCCUCCAUCAUGGGAUUGUUUUUCUUAUUUAAUGAUUUCCUGGAAAUAACUUUACUUGGAAAAAUUCUGAAAUGAAGGCCUGAAAAACACUUUAUUAAUGCCAAAGAUAAAAGUUUUAUAAUUUUGUGGUGUUAUUUUCUUCAUGUCCAUACAUUGGUUCAUGUCUGACUAAUUGAUUGAUCCAAAAUCAUGAUCAGGGUGGAUGUUAUCUCUGUGACAUGAAAAUAUUUUCUUAUUUGUAAGAAGUUACAAUAAUCUGGAUAUUUUUUCUUUUAUCUUUUUUAUUAUCUGUGCAAAUAACCUAUAAAUUAAAAGUAGGAGAAAAGACAAAGAGAAAGAUUUAGAAUCCAGUGUGAUGUUGCAUUAAAUCAGGUCAGUACUGGGAACACUGUU